rnacentral:lncRNA from 1 species
AAAUAUUUGAAUGAAAUGACUCAAGAUCGGUGAGGGGUGGCGGAAAGCUCACCUUGGCCGACGACGGGGAGAAAGCUCGCCCGUUUUCGGCUAAGGGACCCUUUUAUAGUGGCUGGCCAGGCCACGUUCGGGGGCCGAAUGUGCCUCCGCAUGCAUGCCAUGUUCGGCGGCCGAACUUGAGGUUCGACGGCCGAACCUGGGCUUCCCUCACUUAUGCCUUCGGGGGCCUAAG